rnacentral:rRNA from 1 species
CCUAUCUGGUUGAUCCUGCCAGUAGCAUAUGCUUGUUUCAAAGGCUAAGCCAUGCAUGUCUAAGUAACAGUCGUGUUCACACGACGAUACCGCGGACGGCUCAUUAAAUCAGUCGUGGUCUAAAUGGGUCCGUCCUCACGGUAUACUUGGAUAACCGUGGUAAUUCCAGAGCUAAUACAUGCAACUCAUAUCCCGAAGUGCGCAAGCACCGACGGAAGCACUUAUUAGACCAAUGCCCUCGGCGCCGCGCACCUUGUGUGCGCGCGUCGCCACUCGCAUAAAUGGUGACUCUGGAUAAUUACCUAGACGAGCGCACGUAUCUGUUUCAACAGAACGGCGCCGCCUCUUUCGAGUGUCUGCCUUAUCAGCCAUCAAUCGCUCGUUAUGUGCGAACGAUGGCCUUGACGGGUAACGGGGAAUCAGUGUUCGAUUCCGGAGAGGCAGCCUGAGAAACGGCUACCACGUCUAAGGACGGCAGCAGGCACGCAAAUUACCCAAUCCCAGAACUCUGGGGAGGUAGUGACGAAAAAUAACGAUGUGGGCGCUCCUUCUGGGGCCCCACAAUCGGAAUGAGUAUGACUUAAAUAACCUGUCGAGAACCCACUGAAGGGCAAGUCUGGUGCCAGCAGCCGCGGUAAUUCCAGCUUCAGUAGCAUCUAUUAAAGUUGCUGCGGUUAAAAGGCUCGCAGUUGGAGCCACUGGUGUUUGGUAUAUGGAGCAGCUGGACGUUGGUUGCCUUCGUGCUCCCGUCCUGCUUGUCUGUUCCUGACUCUAUGGCACUGAAUAUGGAAAAACCUCCUCUGGUUCGGGCAUCUACUCAGAGUGCUUGGGUGGAGGUCUGUGUCUGGGGUCGUGGGCGUGCGUCUCGUGCGUGCGUUCUCGUGCUUCAGCACUUCCUCUUUUGCUCACCUCUGUGCUCUUACUCGGAGGGGGUGACUUCUGUGUCACCUUGGGUAAAUCAUGGUGCUCACAGCAGUCGUGCGGGCCCUGUGCCCUGUGAACAGUCUAUGCGGACUGAAUUGGUUUUGCAAGGCAUGACGAAACAUGACGUCGCUGCUGGUCGCGAGUGUGAGGGUGCAGUCUUCGUGGUUGUGCCGAGCGGUUUGCCAGUAGUGACGUAAUGAUCAAUGGAGACGGUAGCUGGCAUUGGUAUUGCGCGGCGAGAGGUGAAAUUCUGCGACCCCCGCAAGACCUCCUAAAGCGAAGGCGUCUGCCAAGGACGUGUUCACCAAUCAUGAACGAAAGUCAGAGGAUCGAAGGCGAUCAGAUACCGCCCUAGUUCUGACCCUAAACGAUGCCAACCAUCAAUCCGCGUGACGCACCCUAUCUAACGGGCUCGGCGGGCAGCUCCCUUCUUCCGGGAAACCAGAGUUUUUGGGUUCCGGGGGGAGUCUGGUUGCAAAGCUGAAACUUAAAGGAAUUGACGGAAAGGCACCACCAGGCGUGGCAGCUGCGGCUUAAUUUGACUCAACACGGGCCAUCUUACCAGGCCAGCACUCUGGCAUGAUUGACAGAUUGAGAGCUCUUUCUCGAUUCAGUGGACGGUGGUGUAUGGCCGUUCUUAGUUGGUGGAGUGAUCUGUCUGGUUAAUUCCGAUAACGAACGAGACUCUCCUCUGCUAAAUAGUCGGCUGGAUCUUGAAUUGCUGAGUUGCUCUUUGCCUCGUUCGCGCGUUUCUGCGCUCACGCGUUUUGCGGUCGCCGCUUUGGCUUCACGGUCGGGCGGUGGUGUCUUGCGGGCGCGUGUCUGUGUGGUGCGUUGCGGGCGUGUGUCUUUGGCACUCCAAGUCCGUCGGCUCACACCCACUGAUGUGGGUUGUGUGGUACAAGUUCUUCUUAGAGAGAUUGACGGCUCUGAAGCCGUACGAGAAUGAGAGCAAUAACAGGUCUGUGAUGCCCUCAGAUGCCCUGGGCCGCACGCGCGCUACAAUGCUGGACACAGCAGGUCUAGCCUGCUCCGAGAGGAGCGGGUAACCCUGUCAGAGUCCUGAGUUGUGUAUCGGGCAUCACUUCGUGGUGCAUUGGGCGUGCUUGGGCCUGGGGCUUGCAAUUCUUUCCCACAAACAAGGAAUGCCUUGUAGUGGCGAGUCACUGAGCUCGCUGUGACUCAGUCCCUGCCCUUUGUACACACCGCCCGUCGCUACUACCGAUUGGGUGUACCAGUGAGAACCUUGGACUGGCGUCCGGCGCCUCGUGCACCUGGGUCUGACGGAAAGAGGUUCGAACUGGUGCACUUAGAGGAAGUAAAAGUCGUAACAAGGUUUCCGUAGGUGAACCUGCGGAAGGAUCAUUA